AGUAACGGCGAGUGAAGCGGCAACAGCUCAAAUUUGAAAUCUGGCCCUCCCUUUCGGGGGCCCGAGUUGUAAUUUGCAGAGGAUGCUUCUGGCGCGGCGCCUUCCGAGUUCCCUGGAACGGGACGCCAUAGAGGGUGAGAGCCCCGUCUGGUUGGACGCCUAGCCUCUGUGAAGCACCUUCGACGAGUCGAGUAGUUUGGGAAUGCUGCUCAAAAUGGGAGGUAUAUGUCUUCUAAAGCUAAAUACCGGCCAGAGACCGAUAGCGCACAAGUAGAGUGAUCGAAAGAUGAAAAGCACUUUGAAAAGAGGGUUAAACAGUACGUGAAAUUGUUGAAAGGGAAGCGCUCAUGACCAGACUUGGGCCCCGCGCAUCACCCGGCGUUCUCGCCGGGGCACUUCGCAGGGCCCAGGCCAGCAUCGGUUUGCGGCGGGGGAUAAAGGCUUCGGGAACGUGGCUCCCUCGGGAGUGUUAUAGCCCGCUGCGCAAUGCCCUGCUGCGGACCGAGGUUCGCGCUUUCCGCAAGGAUGCUGGCGUAAUGGUCAUCAGCGAC
rnacentral:rRNA from 1 species